UGAACACGAAGUGCUACGGCACUGAAGUAGUCUAUGCCAUGCUUCCAAGAAAAGCUCGAAAUAUCUUAAAUAGUAAACGCCUGUACCUUAAACCGACACAGGUAGGUAGGUAGAGUAUACCAAGGGGCGCGAGAUAACUCUCUCUAAGGAACUCGGCAAAAUAACCUCGUAACUUCGGAAGAAGAGGUACCCUUGCAAAAGGGUUGCAAUAACCAGACCCUGGCGACUGUUUACCAAAAACACAGGUCUCCGCUAAUUCGUAAGAUCAAGUAUGGAGGCUGACGCCUGCCCAGUGCCGGAAGGUUAAAGAAGUUGGUCAAUCCUCGGAUGAAGCUGGCGACUGAAGCCCCGGUGAACGGCGGCCGUAACUAUAACGGUCCUAAGGUAGCGAAGUUCCUUGUCGGGUAAGUUCCGACCCGCACGAAAGGCGUAACGAUCAGGGUGCUGUCUCGGAGAGAGGCUCGGCGAAAUAGACAUGUCUGUGAAGAUGCGGACUACCUGCACCUGCGCAGAAAGACCCUAUGAAGCUUUACUGUAUCUUGGAAUUGGGUUUGGGCCUUGCUUGCGCAGGAUAGGUGGGAGGCUUUGAGAAUAUUCUUGCGGGAAUGUUGGAGCCAACGGUGAGAUACCACUCUAGUAAGGCUAAAAUUCUAACUUUGUACCGUUAUCCGGUCAGAGAACAGUUUCAGGUGGGCAAUUUGACUGGGGCGGUCGCCUCCUAAAAGGUAACGGAGGCGCGCAAAGGUUCCCUCAGGCUGGUUGGACAUCAGUCGUAGAGUGUAAAGGCAUAAGGGAGCUUGACUGCGAGACCCACAAGUCGAGCAGAGACGAAAGUCGGCCUUAGUGAUCCGACGGUUCCACGUGGAAGGGCCGUCGCUCAACGGAUAAAAGUUACUCUAAGGAUAACAGGCUGAUCUCCCCCAAGAGUUCACAUCGACGGGGAGGUUUGGCACCUCGAUGUCGGCUCAUCGCAUCCUGGGGCGGUAGUACGUCCCAAGGGUUGGGCUGUUCGCCCAUGAAAGCGGUACGCGAGCUGGGUUCAGAACGUCGUGAGACAGUUCGGUCCAUAUCCGGUGCAGGCGCUAGAGCAUUGAAAGGAGUCCCCCUUAGUACGAGAGGACCGGGGGGAAUACACCUCUGGUGUACCAGUUAUCGUGCCAACGGUAAACGCUGGGUAGCCAUGUAUAGCGCGGAUAACUGCUGAAAGCAUCUAAGUAGGAAGCCCACCUUAAGAUGAGUGCUCUCACCGCUAUAAGCGGGUAAGGUCACGGUAAGAACAACCGUUAUAUAGGCAUUAAGUAUACGCGCAGUAAUGCGUUUAGCUGAGAUGUACUAACAGACCGAGGGCC
rnacentral:rRNA from 1 species